GUUGGCUUGUUGCGCCGAGGACUCGGGUUCGAUACCUCACAUGGGCACAUUGUGUAAAGCCUAUUUUUGGUGUCCCCUGUCGUGAUAUUGCUGGAAUAUUGCAAUAAGCGGCG